UGGGUUAUGGUAAAGAAAAUGUAGCCUUUAUUGUGGGUGCCAAACAAGAAGUGUGGGAUGCUGAUGCUCAAAAAACCCAAACUCCCCAAUGGGUUUCAGGGAAGCAUUUUUAAAGGCAAGUUGAGGGAGGAGAGUCACAGGGUAUGUGAUCAGUGUACAAUUCUCUGAUUGAUUGAUGGAGAAGUGACAGCGUGGUAUCACAGGGGUUAACAUUAUCAAUCCUCAGGCCCCAGCUGGUCUGGGGGCUACAUGGUCAUGGUCAUUAUAUAGUUAACUUCUUCCAUUUGGUGGGGAUUUUAGCAUCUAUAAAAACGUCUCAGGAAAUGGGCAUCAGGUACUUUUAUCUAGGUACUUCAGGGAGGAACUAAAGAUUCCGUGUCUGCCAUAUGGCUGAUUUACUGUUUAAAUCGUUACCUAUUCUCCUGGGCCCAGCUGCUUUUUUGUCACUGCCUGU